rnacentral:rRNA from 1 species
GAGUUUGAUCCUGGCUCAGAAUGAACGUUGGCGGCGUGGAUUAGGCAUGCAAGUCGUGCGGCAGCAGGCCCAGCAAUGGGCGCUGGCGAGCGGCGAAAGGGAGAGUAACGCGUGGGUACGUACCCCUGGGAUCAGGAUAGCGGCGGGAAACUGCCGGUAAUACUGAAUAACAUCUCAGGAUCAAAGGUGUGAUUCCGCCUGGGGAUCGGCCCGCGUCCUAUCAGCUAGUUGGCGAGGUAAUGGCUCACCAAGGCUAUGACGGGUACUGGGUGUGAGAGCACGACCCAGCUCACUGGGACUGAGACACUGCCCAGACACCUACGGGUGGCUGCAGUCGAGAAUCUUCGGCAAUGGGCGAAAGCCUGACCGAGCGACGCCGCGUGCGGGAUGAAGGCCUUCGGGUUGUAAACCGCUGUCGUAGUGGAGGAAAUAUCAGGGGGUUCUCCCCUUGGUUUGACUGAUACUAGGAGGAAGGGUGGGCUAAGCUCGUGCCAGCAGCCGCGGUAAUA